GUGCGACCUGGAAGGUCAUGGUUUUGUGGUGGUUAAAUUCCAUCUUCCCAGACAUCAGGGAUAAUGUAUAUCUCACAUUUCAAAGAGUGGCAACCUCUGGGAUGCAAGCAUGAGAUAAAAGCAGGUAACACUAAAUCUCGUGGUGAAUCCCUGCAAACAGAGUUAGAUAUGAUUACGAGAGAAACCUAUGUUUGAAUUGUCGUCAAAGCAUAAUAUGCGAAAAGAGAUUGAAUACGCAUAGACCAAAAUGGUACGAAGCAAAAAGGGAACUAAAGAUUGAAGACUUUAGUUAUUGAUGUUCCAAGCUUCCGGCAAAUAGUAGGAAUCUAAGUUUAACGUGAAACGAAGCCAUGGAACAGAGUAACCACAUAGAAGCUCUUAUAUUCAUAAAAUAUAAGUAAGUAGCCAACCAUAAGCUGCUAUGUGGAAGGAUUGUUUAAGAAGCUAAUGCCCAAAGUAAUAUUUGGGAUAUGCAGACGUAAACACUUUAAUUUGGAAGGUAAAGUGGUGAAUAGUAGUGAAUAUGUUAUGGACCAGCAAAAAGUUAGGUAUGAAUGGAAUGGAAUUCCUUGGCGCAAGCUAAAGAAAUCUUCAUUUAAGCUACAAAAACGAAUUUACCAAGCUUCUAAAUGUAAUGAUAUCAAAAAGAUGCAUAAUCUUCAGAGAUUAUUACUCAAAUCAACAAGUGCAAAAACACUCGCUGUUAGGAAAGUAACACAGGACAAUAGGGGGAAGAAGACUGCAGGUAUUAAUGGAAAAGCUAACCUUAAUCAAAAAGAAAGAUUACAACUAUCAUAUUCUUUAGAUAUAAAAGGAAAAGCAAAGCCAUCAAGACGUGUCUGGAUCCCAAAACCUGGUAAGCCAUCGGAGCAUCGCCCGCUUGGUAUACCCACUAUAUCGUGUCGAGCAAAACAAACACUUGUAAAAAUGGCUUUAGAACCAGAAUGGGAGGCAAAACUUGAGCCAAACACUUAUGGUUUUAGACCUGGUAGAUCAUGUCAUGAUGCAAUUGAAGCCAUAUUUGAUGUGCUAAAACAGAAAACAGCAUAUGUAUUAGAUGCUGAUAUUGCUGGAUGCUUUGACAAUAUUAACCAUAAUAAACUGCUUGAAAAGCUCAAUACCACACCAACGUUAAAGAAAAUCAUAAGAGGAUGGUUAGGAGCGGGUAUUAUGGAAGAUGGAAAGCUUCAAUCCACAAAACGUGGUACAAUUCAAGGAGGGACGAUCUCACCGUUGCUAGCUUGUGUUGCAUUACACGGAUUAGAGCAACAUGUCAAAAAAGCUUUAACAAACGAACUCUUUCAGUGUAUGAAAAGAAAAUAUGGUAAGAUAUCGCAUAAAAACGCGCAAAAGUCUAUUAGUGUAAUUUUCUACUGUGAUGAUUUUGUCAUCAUACAUGAAAAUGAAGAGAUUAUUCUUAAAGCAAAAAUUUUAGUUGAAGAAUGGCUAGAAACCAUUGGACUAAAAUUAAAGCCCUCUAAAACAAGAGUUUCUCAUACAUUAAGAACCAUUGACGAAACAAAACCAGGAUUUGAUUUUCUUGGUUUUUCAAUAAGACAAUAUCCAAUAAAAGAAAGUAAGAAAGGUUACAAGUAAACCAAGUCGUAAUUCUAUAAAACAACAUACACUAGCUAUUAAACAUAAGCUCAGAGAAAUGCGUGGAGCACCACAAGAGCGGGUGAUAAAGGAUCUCAAUCCAAUAAACAGAGGAUGGAGUCAAUAUUACUCCUCAGUAGUUUCAUGUAAAAUCUUUAGCUCAUUGGAUAAUAUUAUGCAUAGAAAACUCUGGAAGUGGGCAGUUUUUAGGCACCCAAACAAAGGGAGAUGCUGGAUAAAAAGAAAAUACUUUAAGAAGUAUAAUAACGAAAACUGGCGCUUUAUGACAAGUAACGAGAUACGUCUUACUAUACACAGCGAUCAUGUUAUUAAACGACAUAUCAAAGUGCAAAAAACCAGAUCCCCAUAUGAUGGUGAUUGGGUAUAUUGGGGUAAACGUCUGAGAGAAAUACCAGAUAAGCCACUAGGAGUAAUAAAAUUAUUGAGGUUGCAACAAAGUAAAUGCGAUAAUUGUAGACUAUGGUUUAAAAGUGAUGAUACAAUAGAAAUACAUCACAAAGAUCGGAAUAGACAAAACAAUAUGAUCACAAACUUAUCUUUGUUACAUGGACAUUGUCACGAUGAAUUACAUAGGAGGUGUGCAUGAAAAGCACCAAAUUAGAGAGAAGCCGUAUGAGGCCUCACGUACGGUUUUGCAGUCGAGUGAGGAAGGGCGACCUUCUUCACUUAGACAAC
rnacentral:autocatalytically_spliced_intron from 1 species